UGGGGAAUUUUGGACAAUGGGCGCAAGCCUGAUCCAGCCAUGCCGCGUGCGGGAAGAAGGCCUUCGGGUUGUAAACCGCUUUUGUCAGGGAAGAAAUCCUCUGAGUUAAUACCUCGGGGGGAUGACGGUACCUGAAGAAUAAGCACCGGCUAACUACGUGCCAGCAGCCGCGGUAAUACGUAGGGUGCAAGCGUUAAUCGGAAUUACUGGGCGUAAAGCGUGCGCAGGCGGUUGUGCAAGACAGGUGUGAAAUCCCCGGGCUUAACCUGGGAACUGCACUUGUGACUGCACAGCUGGAGUGCGGCAGAGGGGGAUGGAAUUCCGCGUGUAGCAGUGAAAUGCGUAGAUAUGCGGAGGAACACCGAUGGCGAAGGCAAUCCCCUGGGCCUGCACUGACGCUCAUGCACGAAAGCGUGGGGAGCAAACAGG
rnacentral:rRNA from 1 species